AUCUAAAUUGGAAAAUUAUGUCUUCUAAACCCUUUUUAGUGGAAACAGGAAACAAAUACCAAAGUACUCGAUUCUUAGACCACAAAGUCUGCUUUUUAAAAAAGAUUUAUUUAUUUAUAUAAAUGUUUUGUCUGCAUGUGUGUAAGUGUACUACAUGUAUGCCUUUUACCCAUGAAAGUCAGAAAAGGGAGGUAGAUAGCCUUGAACUGGAGUUACAGAGGCUACUGAGUUACAAAUAGGACUUCAAAUUGGGUCCUCAUGAAGGGCAACAAGUGCUUCUAACCACUGAGUUAUCUCUCUAGCCCCAGACCACAGAGUUUAAAAGCAAACAAGCCAUCGUCAUUAACAGGAGUGAGAUUUGCAAGGUUUUCUUCUAUGGCAUCCAGCCAUAGCCUUUCCUAUGAAUUCCACUGAAUUGUAGACCUCAUACAGUAGAGAGGUACUUAGUCUCCAUUAUUAUGUUAUCAACAAAGGGUUCUAUAUGAGCCACUUCUUCUAUUAUAACAUAUUUCAGUAAUUUCAACAUACAAUUCUAUGAAUAUCUACAAUCACAAAAAAGCCUUUCUUCCCCAUAGCCUAAAAGGUUGUCUCACCAGAGCCUCUCCAUGUGGCCUUGUUAUCUAGCUGACGUCUUCAAUGUUUUCUCUCGUUCACUGACACUCAGGUGUCUAAAGAGCUUACAUGUUAUAGCCUAGCGUCUCAGUCCAUUCUUCACUACAUCAGAAUUUCUAGAGAAAAUAAGCAGAGUAUACAUACAACGUUGUGCAUCGAUGUAUCUAUGAUUUUAAAUGAAAUAAGAUAAUGGAUUAGAAUUAAUGUGUAGAGAGUAACAGUUGACAGACAGAUGCAUCCAGAAAUUACAGCAGUGAACUGAAUGCAUUGGCUGUCUCAUAAAGACAAUGACAUGAUAGGUAACUGAUAAAAGUUUGGCUCCUUCAUUUUCUUUCCUCCUUAUUCUAGUCCUUGUACACUACAGUGAGGUUUUGCUAAGCUCCUUGGUCAAGGUAAAGCCUGAUGUCUUUUAGUAUACUAACUAAUAACAUUCCUGUCUCUGGUAACCAUUUUCUGAGACAAAAGGUAGCUUUUAUAACGCACCAGUAGCCUGACUACAUGGCUUUCUGUUGAAGCCCUUCGCAUAGUGUUAGAUCAGAACCCCUGAAGAGAAGCUGGUUUGCUCUCAAAGACCAGCUUGACAGUAAAGAUUCAAUAUCUUCGUCCACUGCUGAUGCACAGAGAAAUCCCAACUUUUCCUUUUAUUUUAAUGUAGAUCCCAGCAUUCCUGACUCCCAGUUGUCUGUGAGCUAAACCAACAGAUGCUUACUGGGGACUUAGAGCUUAGUAGGACAUGGGUAUGAAAUCCAGCUCUGCUUUCUGAUCUAUUCUGUGUCAUUAUUUGUUGAAGUUCCUUCCCUGAAACAAGACAUAAACAUGCUGGUUCAUGUUGCACUUGUGCUUGCGAUUUAAUCUUUCAGAAUUUUUUUCUUCAUGUUAAUUAUAUAUGUAAGGAAACCAUGAUGAUAUAUGGGAGAGAGGCUAAGGGUACUUUCUUCCUGAAUUAAGUACCCUAAAGUUAAAGUAUGCAGGAGCACUACAGAAAUGAAGAUUUGUGCUCUGGAGUGCAUGGAAGGUGUGCUGGACAGGAGAGCAUUGAGGUGAUGGAAGAGUCACGUCUCAAACUGUGAUACUAUUGAUGACAUGAAGAACCUUACCUGUGAGACAGUGGGAUGAUGAACUGUCAUAUGUACACUCUGAAAGCUACAAUAUACACCCAAAUAAAUGCCUAUAGUUUGAUCAAUGUGAGGAUGUCUUGGGGGUUGAUGUAAUUCCCUUGGGUGUGCUCUGCAAGUAUCCUUGGGUUUGAAACACUGAUGCGUUUGGCAGGUGAUUUUUGGCUAUUCUGCCAUCCCACUUCAUUUGGUUCAUACAAGUUAGUCAUUCAACUGAACAAUUUUCCUAAUGUAUUGUGUGUCAGUAUCUGAAAAGUACAAUAAACUUUCAAUCUCUCCAGUGUCCAUGCAGUGUGAAGAAGCAUUAUCUCCUUGCUUGUGAUGUGAUGUGAUGUGAUGUGAUGUGAUGUGAUGUGAUGUGAUGUGAUGUGUUAUAGGCAGGACUGAAAUAUUCACCAAUAGCCCCAUUGCGGAAAGACUUUGUCAGAGAGAUGGUGGGUUAAAGCUAUAAAAGAUAUACUUUAUAUUUCUGUUAACCCCCAACUACUGAAACACCAAGUAGUGACAAUAAAAAUGCAUGAG
rnacentral:lncRNA from 1 species